UAGCGAAAGCGAGUCUGAAUAGGGCGUUUAGUAUUUGGUCGUAGACCCGAAACCAGGUGAUCUACCCUUGGUCAGGUUGAAGUUCAGGUAACACUGAAUGGAGGACCGAACCGACUUACGUUGAAAAGUGAGCGGAUGAACUGAGGGUAGCGGAGAAAUUCCAAUCGAACCUGGAGAUAGCUGGUUCUCUCCGAAAUAGCUUUAGGGCUAGCCUCAAGUGAUGAUUAUUGGAGGUAGAGCACUGUUUGGACGAGGGGCCCCUCUCGGGUUACCGAAUUCAGACAAACUCCGAAUGCCAAUUAAUUUAACUUGGGAGUCAGAACAUGGGUGAUAAGGUCCGUGUUCGAAAGGGAAACAGCCCAGACCACCAGCUAAGGUCCCAAAAUAUAUGUUAAGUGGAAAAGGAUGUGGCGUUGCCCAGACAACUAGGAUGUUGGCUUAGAAGCAGCCAUCAUUUAAAGAGUGCGUAAUAGCUCACUAGUCGAGUGACACUGCGCCGAAAAUGUACCGGGGCUAAACAUAUUACCGAAGCUGUGGAUUGUCCUUUGGACAAUGGUAGGAGAGCGUUCUAAGGGCGUUGAAGCAUGAUCGUAAGGACAUGUGGAGCGCUUAGAAGUGAGAAUGCCGGUGUGAGUAGCGAAAGACGGGUGAGAAUCCCGUCCACCGAUUGACUAAGGUUUCCAGAGGAAGGCUCGUCCGCUCUGGGUUAGUCGGGUCCUAAGCUGAGGCCGACAGGCGUAGGCGAUGGAUAACAGGUUGAUAUUCCUGUACCACCUAUAAUCGUUUUAAUCGAUGGGGGGACGCAGUAGGAUAGGCGAAGCGUGCGAUUGGAUUGCACGUCUAAGCAGUAAGGCUGAGUAUUAGGCAAAUCCGGUACUCGUUAAGGCUGAGCUGUGAUGGGGAGAAGACAUUGUGUCUUCGAGUCGUUGAUUUCACACUGCCGAGAAAAGCCUCUAGAUAGAAAAUAGGUGCCCGUACCGCAAACCGACACAGGUAGUCAAGAUGAGAAUUCUAAGGUGAGCGAGCGAACUCUCGUUAAGGAACUCGGCAAAAUGACCCCGUAACUUCGGGAGAAGGGGUGCUCUUUAGGGUUAACGCCCAGAAGAGCCGCAGUGAAUAGGCCCAAGCGACUGUUUAUCAAAAACACAGGUCUCUGCUAAACCGUAAGGUGAUGUAUAGGGGCUGACGCCUGCCCGGUGCUGGAAGGUUAAGAGGAGUGGUUAGCUUCUGCGAAGCUACGAAUCGAAGCCCCAGUAAACGGCGGCCGUAACUAUAACGGUCCUAAGGUAGCGAAAUUCCUUGUCGGGUAAGUUCCGACCCGCACGAAAGGCGUAACGAUUUGGGCACUGUCUCAACGAGAGACUCGGUGAAAUCAUAGUACCUGUGAAGAUGCAGGUUACCCGCGACAGGACGGAAAGACCCCGUGGAGCUUUACUGUAGCCUGAUAUUGAAAUUCGGCACAGCUUGUACAGGAUAGGUAGGAGCCUUUGAAACGUGAGCGCUAGCUUACGUGGAGGCGCUGGUGGGAUACUACCCUAGCUGUGUUGGCUUUCUAACCCGCACCGCUUAUCGUGGUGGGAGACAGUGUCAGGCGGGCAGUUUGACUGGGGCGGUCGCCUCCUAAAAGGUAACGGAGGCGCUCAAAGGUUCCCUCAGAAUGGUUGGAAAUCAUUCAUAGAGUGUAAAGGCAUAAGGGAGCUUGACUGCGAGACCUACAAGUCGAGCAGGGUCGAAAGACGGACUUAGUGAUCCGGUGGUUCCGCAUGGAAGGGCCAUCGCUCAACGGAUAAAAGCUACCCCGGGGAUAACAGGCUUAUCUCCCCCAAGAGUUCACAUCGACGGGGAGGUUUGGCACCUCGAUGUCGGCUCAUCGCAUCCUGGGGCUGUAGUCGGUCCCAAGGGUUGGGCUGUUCGCCCAUUAAAGCGGUACGCGAGCUGGGUUCAGAACGUCGUGAGACAGUUCGGUCCCUAUCCGUCGUGGGCGUAGGAAAUUUGAGAGGAGCUGUCCUUAGUACGAGAGGACCGGGAUGGACAUACCUCUGGUGUACCAGUUGUCGUGCCAACGGCAUAGCUGGGUAGCUAUGUGUGGACGGGAUAAGUGCUGAAAGCAUCUAAGCAUGAAGCCCCCCUCAAGAUGAGAUUUCCCAACUUCGGUUAUAAGAUCCCUCAAAGAUGAUGAGGUUAAUAGGUUCGAGGUGGAAGCAUGGUGACAUGUGGAGCUGACGAAUACUAAUCGAUCGAAGACUUAAUCAA
rnacentral:rRNA from 1 species